GAAUGUGACUGAAAUCUGGGUGGGGACAUCGCUCAUUCCAUUGAUCACAGGGUUGAUUCUGCUCAUCUGGCAGGCUGUGCUAAUGUUCCUCUUCCCUCACCAGCUCCGUGUCCAUCCUGCCCAGAGCUGCUUGCUCCCCUAGGUCAAAGCGGACCACCUUCCCAGACAGGGGGGGAUUUUUCUUCGGUCAGGGAUAUAGGAGUAGCUGCUGGGCUCCCCUGCUAAAACCAAACAAGCUCUCAAGGUCCAUUUGUAGGAGAACACAGGAUAGUCAACUUCCAAGACUCCAUCACAUUAAAAUGAGGCGCUGCAUGUGGCAAUCUGCCUUUCUUU
ensembl:misc_RNA 7SK 7SK RNA